ACGCUAGCUACAGGCUUAACACAUGCAAGUCGAGGGGCAGCAUGGUCUUAGCUUGCUAAGGCCGAUGGCGACCGGCGCACGGGUGAGUAACACGUAUCCAACCUGCCGUCUACUCUUGGACAGCCUUCUGAAAGGAAGAUUAAUACAAGAUGGCAUCAUGAGUCCGCAUGUUCACAUGAUUAAAGGUAUUCCGGUAGACGAUGGGGAUGCGUUCCAUUAGAUAGUAGGCGGGGUAACGGCCCACCUAGUCUUCGAUGGAUAGGGGUUCUGAGAGGAAGGUCCCCCACAUUGGAACUGAGGCACGGUCCAAACUCCUACGGGAGGCAGCAGUGAGGAAUAUUGGUCAAUGGGCGAGAGCCUGAACCAGCCAAGUAGCGUGAAGGAUGACUGCCCUAUGGGUUGUAAACUUCUUUUAUAAAGGAAUAAAGUCGGGUAUGCAUACCCGUUUGCAUGUACUUUAUGAAUAAGGAUCGGCUAACUCCGUGCCAGCAGCCGCGGUAAUACGGAGGAUCCGAGCGUUAUCCGGAUUUAUUGGGUUUAAAGGGAGCGUAGAUGGAUGUUUAAGUCAGUUGUGAAAGUUUGCGGCUCAACCGUAAAAUUGCAGUUGAUACUGGAUAUCUUGAGUGCAGUUGAGGCAGGCGGAAUUCGUGGUGUAGCGGUGAAAUGCUUAGAUAUCACGAAGAACUCCGAUUGCGAAGGCAGCCUGCUAAGCUGCAACUGACACUGAGGCUCGAAAGUGUGGGUAUCAAACAGGAUUAGAUACCCUGGUAGUCCACACGGUAAACGAUGAAUACUCGCUGUUUGCGAUAUACAGCAAGCGGCCAAGCGAAAGCGUUAAGUAUUCCACCUGGGGAGUACGCCGGCAACGGUGAAACUCAAAGGAAUUGACGGGGGCCCGCACAAGCGGAGGAACAUGUGGUUUAAUUCGAUGAUACGCGAGGAACCUUACCCGGGCUUAAAUUGCAGAUGAAUUACGGUGAAAGCCGUAAGCCGCAAGGCAUCUGUGAAGGUGCUGCAUGGUUGUCGUCAGCUCGUGCCGUGAGGUGUCGGCUUAAGUGCCAUAACGAGCGCAACCCUUGUUGUCAGUUACUAACAGGUUCCGCUGAGGACUCUGACAAGACUGCCAUCGUAAGAUGUGAGGAAGGUGGGGAUGACGUCAAAUCAGCACGGCCCUUACGUCCGGGGCUACACACGUGUUACAAUGGGGGGGUACAGAGGGCCGCUACCACGCGAGUGGAUGCCAAUCCCCAAAACCUCUCUCAGUUCGGACUGGAGUCUGCAACCCGACUCCACGAAGCUGGAUUCGCUAGUAAUCGCGCAUCAGCCACGGCGCGGUGAAUACGUUCCCGGGCCUUGUACACACCGCCCGUCAAGCCAUGGGAGCCGGGGGUACCUGAAGUGCGUAACCGCGAGGAGCGCCCUAGGGUAAAACUGGUGACUGGGGCUA
rnacentral:rRNA from 1 species